rnacentral:misc_RNA from 1 species
UGUCCCAAACGGCUUGGCGAGUUUUGUGAAGUAUGAGGCAUGAAAUGAGAAUGCUUGGACACUGAACGGCCAUAUCCAGCAUGCAUAUCAUGAGCUGAAGGAGGGCUUCCAACCUCCAUGUGCGUAAAUGCUUGAAUAGGUCCAUUUUGUCUUUGAAUCAGUGAAUUGGAGCUCUGGUUUGAAGUCCGGUUGGAUCUUCCAAAACCAACUGAUGGAUCACCUGAACCAAGAUGCAUUCCUUUGCUGAACUCGAUGCUUAUGGAGCUGACCUCUGAACUAUCUUCUUGUAGAAGCUGUUCCUCACUGUAAUUGGGAUCCCAAUCCCCUGGAUCUGGCAAUGAUAGGCUAGCCUCAGGCUUAUCAUGAGCUGGUCCCACACUUUGAGAGAAAUGCAUAUUAGAAGGUUUGAAAGAGCCAGGCAUAUUCUGGUUGGCAGAAUGACCAGCAGUACUUCCACUACCUCCAUGCUGCUGCAUCCAACUUGCAGUGCUAGAAUUUGAUUGGCAAUGUGAGGGUGAACUUCCAAAUACUGAAGGAUUUCCCUCAGCUAGGGUAGAACUGGUACCAUCAGCAUAUUGUCCUUGCCAAUGCAAAGAUGGCAUACCACUCUCUUGAGAAUGAGAACUUCCAGAAUACCCCCAACUUUUUCUUCUAUUGAAUUGGGUAACUGCAG